UACGUAGGGGGCGAGCGUUGUCCGGAUUUAUUGGGCGUAAAGAGCGUGUAGGCGGUUCGGUAAGUCUGUCGUGAAAUCCUGAGGCUCAACCUCGGGCGUGCGAUGGAUACUGCCGGGCUAGAGGGUGGUAGAGGCGAGUGGAAUUCCCGGUGUAGCGGUGAAAUGCGCAGAUAUCGGGAGGAACACCAGUAGCGAAGGCGGCUCGCUGGGCCACACCUGACGCUGAGACGCGAAAGCGUGGGGAGCGAUCCGG
rnacentral:rRNA from 1 species